CUCUGGGCCCCAGCAAGGCUUUCCUCAGACAAGCCUGUGCCUGUCUGUUCCUGCAGUGGCUGAAAUGCAGCCUUAUCCUGAAGGAAAUGGUGGCGAGAGGUGGCUGCUGGCUGGAGAAGGGGACAAGAAGAAGUUCUCCUGUCCUAACUUUUUCUGGAGCUUAAAAAGACCUUCUUCUUGUUUCAGAGAUAAGGGCACAACAGUGUCUUACAUUGAACAAGGAGAACCAGAGGCAUCCUGAAUCACUGCUAAGGAAAAAGACGGCACAGCUCCAAUUUUCCAGCAGAUGUAACAGCAGCUUGGAGUUGUAAAAAUGUCUUGCAAGAUUUUACACACUUUAUUGAUACACAGAAUAUGUUUGUGCUGCAAACUUAUAGGCAGUAAUAAAAGAUGCUGAAUGUUCUUUAUUUGUUUAUUUUAACCUGUUCAUGAAGUUGACCUUUGUUAUCUUUCAUAAAUAGGGGCCUGGGACGGUUGUUAUUAAAUACAGCUGGACUUUUAAAUAUUGCUAUACUUUCAUGUUUCCAAAAGUACCAUUUAAAAGGCCUUCUACGAGAUGAUUUACCUGGUCUGCAGUAGUUGUGUUUAAGUUUAGAUUUCAGUUAGUUAUUUAGUUAUUCAGUUAGUUAGUUAUUGAAUGGUUUCAUCUUUUCCAACAUCUAGUUAAUGUUUUGAUCCCUUGUGAAGCUGAUUUUCUUGGAUUAGAGCAUUUCCUAAAAUCCCUCAAAUGUCUUUUAUCUUUCCAUCUUUUUGGUGACAGCUCUAAUGUUAAUUCAGCAAUGGAAGAUUAAGUUAUUUAUAGAUAUAUACAUAUGUUUAUAUUUUUUCCUUUAUGCAUUGCAAAGGAGUUCUACUCUGCUGAUCAAAACUAUUUUACAAGAGUUUUUCGAAUGCAUCGAACCACCUAUCUUUUUAAUAGGACUCAAGAUAUUGACCUGGGUUUAACCAGCUGCAGAAUACUCCUUCUAUUGCAAAGGGCACAUAUAGGAAGGUUCCAUGUUUGUUACCAGCCAGAUGUGAAGUUCAGGAUGAUCUCUCUUAUAAUGAUAAGAUAGCAGGCAUAAUUUACUUUUUGAAGUCCUUAAGUAUUCCUGAAAAUGUUCCCUCUACUUGCCUGUUGGAUAAAAUACUUGGUGCAUUCUAGCUUUUUAGGCAGACAGACAUUUUAACCACCACCAAGCUGUGAUAGUCAUGGUUGCUUGACAAAACGGAAAAGUAGUGCCACGUUUCAGCUCCAUCUCUAAAGAUACAUUUUUUCCCUUUAAUUUUUUUUUCUUUUGCUUUCAUCUGAAUUUUUCUUUCAUUUUGGAUGGACUUCAGAAUCUUCCAAAAGGUGUAUAUUCUGGAAAUGUUCACCAAUAUUACAUACAUUGACAACUGGAUUAAAGAAAACUACUGUGAUGGUAGUUCAUCAAUUUGAAAGUAAUGGUUUUCUGCUCAGUAAGUGCCAGUUAUGGCAUAUAUGUCAACUUUGUACGCAUAUUUGUUUUAUGUUCGUCUACUAAAUACCAUCUACCACUACCUGUAGUAAUGAUAUAUUUGUUAGUGAAAAUUAAAAGCUGCAAAGUGUAUGCACAUAUCUGACACAUUGCUGGAUGCAGAAGGAGAUGCUGGUCCUCAAAAAUAGUGAAUUCUCUUUAAAAAGUUAGGCACAAUAAAACUAAGUGAUGUACAAAAAUUAAAUAAAUAAAGCUCUUCCCAGUUUUGUCCUGCCUUUCACGUUCUUCUUAAUCCUUGACAUCAUUCCCUUGACAUCAUCCGU